CAAUAGCGUAUAUUAAAGUUGUUGCAGUUAAAAAGCUCGUAGUUGAAUUUCUGGCGGGCGCGCCGGUCUUCCAAGUGUUGUACUGGGCGCAGCCCGCCAUCCUUGUGGAGAGGGCUCGCAUUGAGUUGCGUGUCGGAUCUGCAUCAUUUACUGUGAAAAAAUUAGAGUGUUUAAAGCAGGCUGUCGCUUGAAUACAUUAGCAUGGAAUAAUAAGAUAGGACUUCGGUCUAUUUUGUUGGUUGCGAACCGAGGUAAUGAUUAAUAGGGAUAGUUGGGGGUAUUCAUAUUUAAUUGUCAGAGGUGAAAUUCUUGGAUUUAUGAAAGAUGAACAACUGCGAAAGCAUUUACCAAGGAUGUUUUCAUUAA
rnacentral:rRNA from 1 species